GGCGUCAAACGCCUUAGUGAGAUCCACAAUCAAGUAGCAUUUUCUUAGUGGCAUAUGUUUUAUGAGUAGGCAUUAGUUCCUGUGUUAUUGAUCAGAAAAUGUCUAUGCAGGAUAACUGUAACAACAACAAUAACUGAAGACGAGCAAUACACGUUUUACCUUAAAUGUAGCGAUUAUGCUAGAAGGUAUUUGAUCAAAGAGUACGAUGACAUUACAGAAGAAACGCGAACUAAGACCAAGAGGAUGUAUUUCCUGCAUUGCUUGAACAAGUUUCUGUUCUACAGCUGGAUGGCCUGGAUUGUAUUUUACAAAAUCAACGUAGUGAAGAUCCU